GGGGAAUAUUGGGCAAUGGGCGAAAGCCUGACCCAGCAACGCCGCGUGAAGGAAGAAGGUUUUCGGAUCGUAAACUUCUAUCCUUGGUGAAGAUAAUGACGGUAGCCAAGAAGGAAGCCCCGGCUAACUACGUGCCAGCAGCCGCGGUAAUACGUAGGGGGCAAGCGUUGUCCGGAAUGAUUGGGCGUAAAGGGCGCGUAGGCGGCCUGGUAAGUCUGGAGUGAAAGUCCUGCUUUUAAGGUGGGAAUUGCUUUGGAUACUGCUGGGCUUGAGUGCAGGAGAGGUAAGUGGAAUUCCCGGUGUAGCGGUGAAAUGCGUAGAGAUCGGGAGGAACACCAGUGGCGAAGGCGACUUACUGGACUGUAACUGACGCUGAGGCGCGAAAGUGUGGGGAGCAAAC
rnacentral:rRNA from 1 species